rnacentral:misc_RNA from 1 species
UCACACCUCUCUCGUUUCCUUUUGCUGGAAAGCUUCUCUACUCCUGCGCGAGCCGAAGCUCUCCACCGCCCACCCACUCUCUCUCUCUUUGUGUGUCUCUUUGCCGAUUCUUAACCCAAUACCGUCGAGGGGUUCUUCCGAUACCGCCAAAGAGGGGUUGAGCCAAUCAGACGCACAUCCAUCGGCUUGUCUUUUCAUCAGGGAGCGAGCGCUCGUCGCUUACGCGUCUCUUCAGCAGCACAGGGUACACCAGCGCCACCAUGCCGCACACCGAACCUCAAAACUGCCUCCCGCGAGGUAAACUGCGCAGCACCUUGCCGUCACUUGGCGGAUACCGGGGCGCCGUGGUUGCCGCCGCGUGGGCUCUAUUGCUCAUGGUUGUCGUCGCCCAUCCAGCUGUGUGUGCGGCACCAGUCGUCACCGGCGCAACCUGCGUCGUCAACAGCGAUGGGUGGUGCAUCAACUCUGCGCUGAAGUUUGAGGGCACCGACCUGGCCUCCGUCAAAGCCCUCCGCAUCGGCUCCACCGCCGCUGAGGAGAAGCAGAUCACGUGCGCUGACAAAUUCGCCGCCACGGCCAACGCCGUCUCCUGCACUGUCGCCAUGGCGUCGUCGGCGAAAGCCGGCCUGUACCCCGUGACGCUAGUGCUCGGCGACCAAAAGCAGGUGGAGGCCGGCAGCGUGCUGCUCGGCGCCCUCUGGGAGCUGCCGAGUAUGCAGACCUGGACCAGCACGACGGCGUCGGGUCCGCACAAGGUGACCGGGCAGUCCAGCGACUGGCCCUCCACCGGCGACGCGUGGAGCAUCAGCGGCACCUUCGACCCCGCCAACCACUACAGCGUGCUCUUCUACAACAUCGAGGCCGAGGCCGCAGCCGGCAACCCAUCCCACGUUACCUGCGCUCUGCUCACUGUCACCGCCAGCAAGCUCACCUGCACUAUCAUUGCCGCCAGUGGCGUCAUGGGCAUGUACCGCUUUCUCGUGAAGGACACCACCAAGGGCACGCUGCUGCUCGGCUCCACGUCGCUCGGCGCCAUCGCCGUGAACCCGCCGCUGCCCACCGUCACCGGUGCCCGAGGCGAAUGCGCCACGAACAGCGCGGCCUGCGUCAGCGGCGCGGCGCUCACCAUCAGCAGCACCAACUUCAACUACCGCGAUCACGCCUACCAGCAGUUCUUCGUCGGCGUCACGGAGGCGCAGCGCAGCGCCGUCCGCCUCACGCCCACCGCCGUCAGCAUGACCGACCUCACUGCAAACCUCACCGUCGCCCAUGGCACGCCGGCCGGGAGCUAUCCCGUGUUUGUGAAGGUGCAGGUGUGCAUGAUGCACAUGAUGUCGCCGCCGCGCUAUGUGGGCAACCUGGUGCUGCAAUCCGGCUCCAUAGCCGGCUUUAACACGGAGAUGCCCACUGGAAAUUCUUCUGAAAUCCAGGGCGCCGUUGAUGGUCGUCAUGGCGGUAUGUCCUCGGGUUACAUUGCUGUCACUAUUCUUGCCGUGGUCUUCGGCGUGAUGUUCCUCAUCGUGCUCGUGGCUUUGACACUUGUGUGCCUUCGCAAAUCCGAACGCCGCCGUCGUCUUCCGGAAGGAAAUCGCUUCUGGGAUAGCAUGGCGAGUGAUGUGCCAGCGGUGGUGUCAGAUCGUAAAGAUUUCAACAGCGAUUGUGUUGUGCACUAGUACCAACCGGAUUUUCGCUGCUUGCGCGGAGUGGUCCAACGAGGAGGUGAGCGAGGUAGACAUCGGAAGACAGGUAAGGAUACCCGCAGUUGUCCUGAUCUACUCGUCUCUGCUCAGGAAGUGUCCACGAUAGCUCGCUCUAGCCUGGCUUAUCAGCGGCGUCCACGACUUCGCCGACAGCGGCGGCGUGGCGUCGUCUACUCCCACCACCACCCGCAUCAGUUUACGCGCUCUUUUUUUUUGACUUUCUUUAGGGAGAACACGGGUAGUUAACUGUGAGUGUGCAUCAUUGUGCGCACUCGUAGCUCGGCCUGCCUUUUGAGAUGCCCCCGUCGGCGCACGCAAACGAUGCAAGGGGCGCGAAAAAGAGAGAGCGUCAGCGUGUUUCUUUGCGAGUAGUUUAUUUCGUUUUUUUUUCUCUUCUCCUCCUAUCUGUCGCUCUCUCGCGUGCCUCUUGCCCCCUCUUUACCGCCACCUCUCAGGAGAGUAGCGUUGUGAAGGACUGGUACGCCGAUGGAAGUUAGGCCUUAUCGGUGUGUGUGUUUGUGUCUGUGUGCGUGUGUCGCAGUCGUCGUUUGACCUGCUUCUCCACACAAAAGCACACGCACGCACGUAGGCCAGGCUCGUACGAAACGGGGCGAAGUGAGUUUUUUUUUCGCUUUCUUUUUUUUAGGCUGGGAACGUUCACCCGACAUCUGUUGAAUUUCCUUCACUUACGUCUGGUGUGCACGUACUGGUCGCUGUCGGCAUGUCGUUUCACCUUCUUCCUUUACGUCUCGUACGCACAAACGCCUCCGCUCCGUCAUCGACAGCAUGCGCUCCUCUUUUUUGUGUGUGCGCGCGGACGUAGGCGCUACCGCCCACGACGUCGAUGUCGAGAGCACACAACU